GUUAGUGGAACUUGUUUUUGUAAUUAUGAUUUACUUAAUUUACUAAAUUACUUAAAAUAUUACAAUUGUAAGGGUAUAUUAAUUAUCAACCACAAUUUGCAUUGGAAUUGUGUUCCCGGUCACUUACUAUACGUUCCCUCAAACACUACAGUAUGUUCCCUGAACCCUAUUGUUCCUGAACUCUAUAUUCCCUCAACACUAUGUUCCCCAUGCCCUAUUGUCCCUGAACCCUAUAUUCCCUCAACACUAUGUUCCCCAUGCCCUGUUGUCCCUGAACCCUAUAUUCCCUCAACACUAUGUUCCCCAUGCCCUAUUGUCCCUGAACCCUAUAUUCCCUCAACACUAUGUUCCCCAUGCCCUGUUGUCCCUGAACCCUAUAUUCCCUCAACACUAUGUUCCCCAUGCCCUGUUGUCCCUGAACCCUAUAUUCCCUCAACACUAUGUUCCCCAUGCCCUGUUGUCCCUGAACCCUAUAUUCCCUCAACACUAUGUUCCCCAUGCCCUAUUGUCCCUGAACCCUAUAUUCCCUCAACACUAUGUUCCCCAUACCCUGUUGUCCCUGAACCCUAUAUUCCCUCAACACUAUGUUCCCCAUGCCCUGUUGUCCCUGAACCCUAUAUUCCCUCAACACUAUGUUCCCCAUGCCCUGUUGUCCCUGAACCCUAUAUUCCCUCAACACUAUGUUCCCCAUGCCCUGUUGUCCCUGAACCCUAUAUUCGCUCAACACUAUGUUCCCGGGGGCCUGUUGUCCCUGAACCCUAUAUUCCCUCAACACUAUGUUCCCCGGGCCCUGUUGUCCUUGAACCCUAUAUUCCCUCAACACUAUGUUCCCCGGGCCCUGUUGUCCCUGAACCCUAUAUUCCCUCAACACUAUGUUCCCCGGGCCCUGUUGUCCCUGAACACUAUAUUCCCUCAACACUAUGUUCCCCGGGCCCUGUUGUCCUUGAACCCUAUAUUCCCUGUGUCUUAUGUUCCCUCUGCCCUGUUUCCUGGGUCCUAUCUUCUGGCAGCCUUUUGUUUACUCAGACUAAUGUUCCCUCAACUCUAUGUUCCAGUUUUAACCAAAUUGAUGACAUUGCUAUUGUAAUGUAG
rnacentral:lncRNA from 1 species